GAUUGAACGCUGGCGGCAGGCCUACCCCAUGCAAGUCGAGCGGAUGAAGGGAGCUUGCUCCUGGCUUCAGCGGCGGACGGGUGAGUAAUGCCUAGGAAUCUGCCUGGUAGUGGGGGAUAACGUCCGGAAACGGGCGCUAAUACCGCAUACGUCCUGAGGGAGAAAGUGGGGGAUCUUCGGACCUCACGCUAUCAGAUGAGCCUAGGUCGGAUUAGCUAGUUGGUGGGGUAAAGGCCUACCAAGGCGACGAUCCGUAACUGGUCUGAGAGGAUGAUCAGUCACACUGGGACUGAGACACGGUCCAGACUCCUACGGGAGGCAGCAGUGGGGAAUAUUGGACAAUGGGCGAAAGCCUGAUCCAGCCAUGCCGCGUGUGUGAAGAAGGUCUUCGGAUUGUAAAGCACUUUAAGUUGGGAGGAAGGGCAGUAAGUUAAUACCUUGCUGUUUUGACGUUACCAACAGAAUAAGCACCGGCUAACUUCGUG
rnacentral:rRNA from 1 species